UGGGGAAUCUUCCGCAAUGGACGAAAGUCUGACGGAGCAACGCCGCGUGUAUGAUGAAGGUCUUCGGAUUGUAAAGUACUGUCAUUGGGGAAGAACGGUUUUCUUGAAAAGAUUGAGAAGACAUGACGGUACCCAAGGAGGAAGCCCCGGCUAACUACGUGCCAGCAGCCGCGGUAAUACGUAGGGGGCAAGCGUUGUCCGGAAUUAUUGGGCGUAAAGGGCGCGUAGGCGGGCUUUUAAGUCCGGUGUGAAAGAUCAGGGCUCAACCCUGAGAGUGCAUCGGAAACUGGAGGCCUUGAGGACAGGAGAGGAAAGUGGAAUUCCACGUGUAGCGGUGAAAUGCGUAGAUAUGUGGAGGAACACCAGUGGCGAAGGCGACUUUCUGGACUGUAACUGACGCUGAGGCGCGAAAGCGUGGGGAGCAAACAGGAUUAGAUACCCUGGUAGUCCACGCCGUAAACGAUGAGUGCUAGGUGUAGAGGGUAUCGACCCCUUCUGUGCCGCAGUUAACACAAUAAGCACUCCGCCUGGGGAGUACGGCCGCAAGAUUAAAACUCAAAUGAAUUGACGGGGUCAUAGCUGUUUCCU
rnacentral:rRNA from 1 species